rnacentral:rRNA from 1 species
AGGGCAAGUCUGGUGCCAGCAGCCGCGGUAAUUCCAGCUCCAAUAGCGUAUAUUAAAGUUGUUGCAGUUAAAAAGCUCGUAGUUGAAUUUCGGGGUCAGCAGGUUGGUCGUGCCAAUGGUAUGCACUGGCCUUGCUGAUUCCUCCCUCUUGAUGAGCCGUAAUGCCAUUAAUUUGGUGUUGUGGGGAAUCAGGACUGUUACUUUGAAAAAAUUAGAGUGUUUAAAGCAGGCAAGCGCUUGAAUACAUUAGCAUGGAAUAAUGAAAUAGGACGUUCGAUCCUAUUUUGUUGGUUUCUAGGAUUGACGUUAUGAUUAAUAGGGAUAGUUGGGGGCAUUAGUAUUCAAUUGUCAGAGGUGAAAUUCUUGGAUUUAUUGAAGACUAACUACUGCGAAAGCAUUUGCCAAGGAUGUUUUCAUUAAUCAAGAACGAAAGUUAGGGGAUCGAAGACGAUCAGAUACCGUCGUAGUCUUAACCAUAAACUAUGCCGACUAGGGAUCGGAUGAUGUUAAUUUUUUAAUGACUCAUUCGGCGCCUUACGGGAA